UACAGAGGGGGCAAGCGUUGUUCGGAAUUACUGGGCGUAAAGGGCGCGUAGGCGGCCUUCUAAGUCGAACGUGAAAUCCCUGGGCUCAACCCUGAGACGCCAUCCGAUACUGCUGUGACUUGAGUUCGGUAGAGGAGUGUGGAAUUCCUGGUGUAGCGGUGAAAUGCGCAGAUAUCGAGAGGAACACCAGUGGCGAAGGCGAGUCUCUGGACGAAUCCUGACACUGAGGCACGAAAGCUAGGGGAGCAAACAGG
rnacentral:rRNA from 1 species